UUUUCUGUGUGGCCUGCGGGGGAGUCAAGAGGAGCGGAGUAGUGGAUGGAAGGGAAUAGGAGAGGGGUGACGAGGGAUAAGGUACCACCGGUGUUCGGGUGUUGAGAGAGAGAGAGAGGAGUUCGGCGGGGAGGAGAAGCAGGGGUGGCGGCCGCGCUCCAGAGCGUGAGAAGGGUGAGAAGAGUCGGGGAGGAGCAGCUUAGCCAGCGGCUUCACGGGCUCCUAGGCGAGUUCGAGCCAGACCAACGACCCGCGGCCUGCUUCCGACUGCGCCUCCGCGCCCUUAACGGAGGUGGUCUAGCCGCCGACACCGUUAGUACACAGCGUUGGAGGCGCGGACCACGGAAGGAAAGGUAGAGCGAGCAGCCGCCGAGGGUGGUGGGACACGCACGCUGACGCGACGCGGGACAUUACGGGUACACGCCGUCGACACGGCGCCACCUACCAGGGAACGUUCACGUUCGGCUACGGCCGUCCACGCAACGGACUCCUCAAGCAGCCGCAGCUACAGCCCCGGACACCGACCCGCCGCUACCGGUUGUCACCGACCCGCCGCUCCCGUGUUGUCACCGAACCGCCGUGGCUGCAGACUGACAUCACACGUAGAUUUGCCGCUGUACUUUCUUCUGUAGCUCUAAUUGACCCUACCUUGACCGGUGCAUAACGCGUGUUCUCCUAUCAGACGUGGACGUAACCGCUCUUCGCGCAGCAUCGCCCGCAGCAGGCGAUGCGUACCGCCGCUACCGCGUCCCGACCCGCCGACGCUGCAUGCAGGCCCACCCGACUAAGGGCAUUCAAAUCUUUAAACAACACUCCGUCUGCACAAUUAAGGGUAAUUAACACCGAUUAAAAGACAUCAACUAACCUGCGCUUGCGUUUCCCACCUUGACAAAAAAAAAAGCCCCCUCCACGUUGACAAACUAGCUACCGUCUCAAAGCAGGCGAGUACAUUUAGCGAUUUGCAUGUGUCCCCUCCAGACUGAAAAUACACCUGCCAAUCUACGGACUAGGACCUCUACC
rnacentral:rRNA from 1 species